rnacentral:rRNA from 1 species
GACGAACGCUGGCGGCGUGCUUAACACAUGCAAGUCGAACGGAAAGGCCCUGCUUUUGUGGGGUGCUCGAGUGGCGAACGGGUGAGUAACACGUGAGUAACCUGCCCUUGACUUUGGGAUAACUUCAGGAAACUGGGGCUAAUACCGGAUAGGAGCUCCUGCUGCAUGGUGGGGGUUGGAAAGUUUCGGCGGUUGGGGAUGGACUCGCGGCUUAUCAGCUUGUUGGUGGGGUAGUGGCUUACCAAGGCUUUGACGGGUAGCCGGCCUGAGAGGGUGACCGGCCACAUUGGGACUGAGAUACGGCCCAGACUCCUACGGGAGGCAGCAGUGGGGAAUAUUGCACAAUGGGCGGAAGCCUGAUGCAGCAACGCCGCGUGCGGGAUGACGGCCUUCGGGUUGUAAACCGCUUUCGCCUGUGACGAAGCGUGAGUGACGGUAAUGGGUAAAGAAGCACCGGCUAACUACGUGCCAGCAGCCGCGGUGAUACGUAGGGUGCGAGCGUUGUCCCGAUUUAUUGGGCGUAAAGGGCUCGUAGGUGGUUGAUCGCGUCGGAAGUGUAAUCUUGGGGCUUAACCCUGAGCGUGCUUUCGAUACGGGUUGACUUGAGGAAGGUAGGGGAGAAUGGAAUUCCUGGUGGAGCGGUGGAAUGCGCAGAUAUCAGGAGGAACACCAGUGGCGAAGGCGGUUCUCUGGGCCUUUCCUGACGCUGAGGAGCGAAAGCGUGGGGAGCGAACAGGCUUAGAUACCCUGGUAGUCCACGCUGUAAACGGUGGGUACUAGGUGUGGGGUCCAUUCCACGGGUUCCGUGCCGUAGCUAACGCUUUAAGUACCCCGCCUGGGGAGUACGGCCGCAAGGCUAAAACUCAAAGGAAUUGACGGGGCCCCGCACAAGCGGCGGAGCAUGCGGAUUAAUUCGAUGCAACGCGUAGAACCUUACCUGGGUUUGACAUGGAUCGGGAGUGCUCAGAGAUGGGUGUGCCUCUUUUGGGGUCGGUUCACAGGUGGUGCAUGGCUGUCGUCAGCUCGUGUCGUGAGAUGUUGGGUUAAGUCCCGCAACGAGCGCAACCCUUGUUCACUGUUGCCAGCACGUUAUGGUGGGGACUCAGUGGAGACCGCCGGGGUCAACUCGGAGGAAGGUGGGGAUGACGUCAAGUCAUCAUGCCCCUUAUGUCCAGGGCUUCACGCAUGCUACAAUGGCUGGUACAGAGAGUGGCGAGCCUGUGAGGGUGAGCGAAUCUCGGAAAGCCGGUCUCAGUUCGGAUUGGGGUCUGCAACUCGACCUCAUGAAGUCGGAGUCGCUAGUAAUCGCAGAUCAGCAACGCUGCGGUGAAUACGUUCCCGGGGCU